rnacentral:misc_RNA from 1 species
GAUGAAGAACGUAGCGAAAUGCGAUAAGUAAUGUGAAUUGCAGAAUUCAGUGAAUCAUCGAAUCUUUGAACGCACAUUGCGCCCGCCAGUAUUCUGGCGGGCAUGCCUGUCCGAGCGUCAUUUCAACCCUCGAACCCCUCCGGGGGGUCGGCGUUGGGGAUCGGCCCUUUACGGGGCCGGCCCCGAAAUACAGUGGCGGUCUCGCCGCAGCCUCUCCUGCGCAGUAGUUUGCACACUCGCAUCGGGAGCGUGGCGCGUCCACAGCCGUUAAACACCCCAAACUUCUGAAAUGUUGAACUCGGAUCAGGUAGGAAUACCCGCUGAACUUAAGCAUAUAAAUAAGCGGAGGA